UACGGAGGGAGCUAGCGUUGUUCGGAAUUACUGGGCGUAAAGCGCACGUAGGCGGCUUUGUAAGUUAGAGGUGAAAGCCCGGAGCUCAACUCCGGAACUGCCUUUAAGACUGCAUCGCUUGAAUCCAGGAGAGGUGAGUGGAAUUCCGAGUGUAGAGGUGAAAUUCGUAGAUAUUCGCAAGAACACCAGUGGCGAAGGCGGCUCACUGGCCCGAUACUGACACUGAGGCACGAAAGCGUGGGGAGCAAACAGG
rnacentral:rRNA from 1 species